UACGAAGGGGGCUAGCGUUGUUCGGAAUAACUGGGCGUAAAGCGCAUGUAGGCGGAUUUUUAUGUCAGAGGUGAAAUCCCAGGGCUCAACCCCGGCAUUGCAUUUGAUACUGGAGAUCUGGAGUCUGGGAGAGGUGAGUGGAAUUCCGAGUGUAGAGGUGAAAUUCGUAGAUAUUCGGAGGAACACCAGUGGCGAAGGCGGCUCACUGUCCCGAGACUGCCACUGAGAUGCGAAAGCGUGGGGAGCAAACAGG
rnacentral:rRNA from 1 species